CACAGCUGUCACUAGUUUUCCUCCACAGACGUUCCCGAGGAACCUUCAAGUGUCAGGCCCUGUGCUUUCUCAGCUCCGACACCAAAAAUAAAAUCUCAAGCCCUUGGUCAGCCCUCCGUGCUGGGGAUCCCAUCUGGUGGGAAAGAUGAACUCAGAGAAAGAGGACUGAGAGAGAUGACCACACAAGGUGGUCGGAGGGGACGGGAGGGGAUGGGAGGACUGCUCUGCAGAGGUGGAGACGGGCGGGCAAGACAAGGAUCUCGGAGCAGAGCAGCAGAGGCCAGGAUGGGUCCACGGAGCGCCCUCUGCACUCACCCUGCAGCCCCUGGACCAACCCAGGCUGCAGAGCGUGGAAGCUGUGGGUGCUGGCAACGCCGGCCCAGGGCAGGGUGGACCCGUCACCCUCCAGUGUGUCCUGGCCCACUGCUUGUCACCCUCCACUGUGUCCUGGCCCACCGCUCCACUCAGCCCUGCAGCAGCCCCAGGAGGGAGGCAGAGCCAGCAAGUGAGCACAGCCCCAGGCUCAGUGGCUCCUGCUCUUCCUUUGCUGAUCCUGCAUUUCAACCAGACCUUCCAGUCAUACUUCUUUUUUUAAUGAGCGGGUGAGCCCCUGCAAGGAAGAGUGGUGUCCCUAAGUCCCGCUCAGCAGAGGUCUCCGUUUCUGGGGACAGAAUGCCGGGUCUCCCCGGGAACCAGACUGGAAAGCCCCGGCAAAAGGCCGCAAGGGGGCCUGUCACGGAGGCGGCCGGGUGGGAAAGCCUUAAGAGACGACGGGCCCUAGCUCUCCAUUUUGCAGAUGAGGAAAAACACGAUUUGGGGGCGUGGGAGCGAGAGCCCCUGGGAUCCUGGAGCUACACUGAGUGCUGAGGGGCCACUGAGGGGAUCGAUCCUCCCACAGGCCAGGCGUGUGGCCUGGUCAGCUCCUGUCCGACCCGCCUCUCCUGCACGGCCCACCUCCUCCGUGAAGCCCGCCUGUUCCACCCGGCUACCUGGCCCCCACGCUCUCACUGCUUGUCCCUGCGGCAUGAACUGACCCUUGGACACGUGAGUCUCCUUGGCUAGGGGGGCCCAGAAGACGUGGGCCUUUGGGCCCGGCUGCCCGGGCUCCAGCACUCAUGCCCGUGAACUUGCACGGCCGAGCUCACCCCUCGGAGCUUCAGCUCCCUCCUUCGUGAAGGGCAUCGGUGUCUGCUAGCCUGAUGGUAGGGCUUGGAGGAUGAAGGGCGUCACGGGAGGUCUUCAGGGGGACUCAGGUGCGUUCCGGGCCAGCCAGGAAAGCACCCCUCGCCUCUCUGCCAGUGCAGCGCACGGGAGGUCCCGGCACCACGGCAUGGGGGAGACGGGCCCCACAGGGUAGAGAAAGGCGAAUAAAAUCCAGGGGACAGGGACUAGUCUAGUGGAGUUCUCUGGGAAGCGGACUUGGGUAGCAGCAUCUCCACAGAUUCGCAAGGCUGCACGUGGGGCCCCCUCCCCUCCCCGCCUGCCCCAGAGUCAUCUAUACAGGCUCCCCUCAACCCCAAAAGCCCCUAAGCUCCAAGAACACAGAGCAUUUCUCGGUUCCUCCUAACCCCCAUGCCCUCUCUCACUUCCAGUUCUCAGUGGUUGCCAUCCCUCUGCAUCUGGAAAGUAACCCCAAACCCCAUCCUACCUCACCACGUGACUGCCGGACACAGUCUCAGGUCUCGGGUGAAAGGGCCCUUCUUCCAGGAGCCCUUUCCUAUCCCGGGGCCCCGGCCAGUCCCCCCGUUCUCAGAGUCGUCCUCGUUGACCCUGCAGCCGCCCCUAGCCCGCGAGGUGCUCCUUGCUAACAUCGCGGAAGUGCCCACCUUGGGGCACAGGCUACUUCUGCCCAUGCUCCCCGCUGCCCCCCGGCUCCCUGCCCUCGGCGCUUGCCACACGCGUCCGGAGUAGUGAAUGAACGGCCGUGAGUGAAACCAUCAGGGCUUCAGCUGCAGAUAGAUCCAAAUAAGCACACGCUCCGGCCAGUCACCAUUACUCAGCAGUUCACCAUCUGUCCUGUCGUGUCCGCAAGGGUUAGAGAGUCGUGUGCGAGGGCGGGCCGCGACUCUCCGCCAACCUGGAUGAGAAUUUUCCUUGGCUGAGGACUCCAGGACGUGGACUCGCAGUUGCGCAGGGAGCUCUCGGCGGCGGGAUAGACGCAGUGAGCCUUGAAUUAACAUCUGACCCAGAAGUUCUUCAAAAGCCAGAGAUGAGGGCAGCCGGGGUGGCUCAGCGGUUUAACGCGCCUUCAGCCCAGGGCGUGAUCCUGGAGACCCGGAAUCGAGUCCCACGUCGGGCUCCCUGCGUGGAGCCUGCUUCUCCCUCCUUCUCCCUCUGCCUGUGUCUCUGCCUCUCUCUGUGUGUCUCUCAUGAAUAAAUAAAAUCU